CAAAUUAUAGCUUAUAUAAGUUAAGUAUAUUAUUUACACUAAUAUGAUAGUUGUGCAAUUCAAUUUAAUUUGA
rnacentral:tRNA from 1 species